rnacentral:rRNA from 1 species
UACGUAGGGUGCGAGCGUUAAUCGGAAUUACUGGGCGUAAAGCGUGCGCAGGCGGUUCGUUGUGUCCGAUGUGAAAGCCCCGGGCUUAACCUGGGAAUGGCAUUGGAAACUGGCGGGCUUGAGUGCGGCAGAGGGGGGUGGAAUUCCGCGUGUAGCAGUGAAAUGCGUAGAUAUCAAGUGGAACACCAGUGGCGAAGGCGAGUCUCUGGACAUUUCCUGACGCUGAGGCACGAAAGCCAGGGGAGCAAACGGG